ACAAGCGGUGGAGCAUGUGGUUUAAUUCGAUGCAACGCGAAGAACCUUACCAGGUCUUGACAUCCCGAUGCUAUUUCUAGAGAUAGAAAGUUACUUCGGUACAUCGGUGACAGGUGGUGCAUGGUUGUCGUCAGCUCGUGUCGUGAGAUGUUGGGUUAAGUCCCGCAACGAGCGCAACCCCUAUUGUUAGUUGCCAUCAUUCAGUUGGGCACUCUAGCGAGACUGCCGGUAAUAAACCGGAGGAAGGUGGGGAUGACGUCAAAUCAUCAUGCCCCUUAUGACCUGGGCUACACACGUGCUACAAUGGUUGGUACAACGAGUUGCGAGUCGGUGACGGCGAGCUAAUCUCUUAAAGCCAAUCUCAGUUCGGAUUGUAGGCUGCAACUCGCCUACAUGAAGUCGGAAUCGCUAGUAAUCGCGGAUCAGCACGCCGCGGUGAAUACGUUCCCGGGCCUU
rnacentral:rRNA from 1 species